ACGAUGUCAACUAGCCGUUGGGACUCUUGAAGUCUUAGUGGCGCAGCUAACGCACUAAGUUGACCGCCUGGGGAGUACGGCCGCAAGGUUAAAACUCAAAUGAAUUGACGGGGGCCCGCACAAGCGGUGGAGCAUGUGGUUUAAUUCGACGCAACGCGAAGAACCUUACCUGGCCUUGACAUGCAGAGAACUUUCCAGAGAUGGAUUGGUGCCUUCGGGAACUCUGACACAGGUGCUGCAUGGCCGUCGUCAGCUCGUGUCGUGAGAUGUUGGGUUAAGUCCCGUAACGAGCGCAGCCCCUAUCCCUAGUUGCUAGCAGUUCGGCUGAGAACUCUAGGGAGACUGCCGGUGACAAACCGGAGGAAGGUGGGGAUGACGUCAGGUCAUCAUGGCCCUUACGGCCAGGGCUACACACGUGCUACAAUGGUGCGUACAGAGGGCUGCAAACCCGCGAGGGGGAGCUAAUCUCACAAAACGCAUCGUAGUCCGGAUCGGAGUCUGCAACUCGACUCCGUGAAGUCGGAAUCGCUAGUAAUCGCGAAUCAGAAUGUCGCGGUGAAUACGUUCCCGGGCCUUGUACACACCGCCCGUCACACCAUGGGAGUGGAUUGCACCAGAAGUGGUUAGUCUAACCUUCGGGAGGACGAU
rnacentral:rRNA from 1 species